UCUUUCCCUCUGUGCCCUGGUUUCUUGUUAUGUAUUAUGGAACUUCCACCCAUGAAUCUUGUAAGACUCAUAAGAGGAAAAAUUCUUCAUCAAGCCCCACAGUUUGUGCAAUGCAGUGAUAGAAGGCUUUGAACAUUUUCAGUGACUGGAAUCAAUCUGAGAAAAGUCAUGCACAGACAGAAGACUUUUCAAGAUUUCAAAGACGAGAAAAGGAAGUUUCUGGUGAUGCUUUGGAACAUUCCAUGAGGUCCGCCGUCCAAGCUGACGGAUCCCCAGGACUGGGUUAGGGAGAUCCGAAAGAAGAGGCUCAUGUCCUUUCCCUGUGCCUAACAUCUUUCCCCUGUUUACUCAUUUGGCCAAUUUCCAUUCACUCCAUAGGUCUCAGAGAAGUCUUGUUUGACCUACAGCCUAGGCCAGACCUUUAGGUCUGCACUUUUUUGGGACUCUGUACUUCUCUGUCAUGUAACUCAUCACAAUUAAAA